rnacentral:SRP_RNA from 10 species
ACCGGAAGCCAGCAGCGCCAACGAGCGUGCGG